rnacentral:lncRNA from 1 species
UACAAGUUGCUGGAGGGCAGCUGGUAUUAACUCAUCACCAGGGAGAGAGCACAGACAGGCAGGGGCAUGUAGUGCUCACUGGUCCUGUUCCUUCUCAUCCUUCCAGAGUAUUUCUCCAUCUAUGGUCCUAGAGCUGUGUGGGGCACAGAAUGGGACUCACUGACAGUGCAGUGUCAUUAUGACCAAGGCUGGGAGACCUACAGCAAGUAGUGGUGCCACGGGAAGGACUGGCAGUCCUGCAAAAUCCUCAUUACAAUCACAGGAUCAGAGCAGACAGCGGAG